rnacentral:rRNA from 1 species
CGCCCAGACUCCUACGGGAGGCAGCAGUGGGGGAUAUUGCACAAUGGGGGAAACCCUGAUGCAGCGACGCCGCGCGGGUGAAGAAGCGCCUCGGCGCGUAAAGCCCUGUCAGCAGGGAAGAAAAUGACGGUACCUGAAGAAGAAGCCCCGGCUAACUACGUGCCAGCAGCCGCGGUAAUACGUAGGGGGCAAGCGUUAUCCGGAAUUAUUGGGCGUAAAGAGUACGUAGGUGGUUUUGUAAGCGCGGGGUGAAAGGCAGUGGCUUAACCAUUGUAAGCCUUGCGAACUGCAAGACUUGAGUGCAGGAGAGGAAAGCGGAAUUCCUAGUGUAGCGGUGAAAUGCUUAGAUAUUAGGAGGAACACCAGUGGCGAAGGCGGCUUUCUGGACUGUAACUGACACUGAGGUACGAAAGCGUGGGGAGCAAACAGGAUUAGAUACCCGAGUACUG